ensembl:lncRNA
UUUUUUUUUUUUUUUUUUUUUCCUUCUUCCUUCACUUUUUUCUUCAGGGAAAGUGGGAGGAAUGGGAAACAGCAGAAUUACCAUCUGAAAUGGGUAUUUCACCACAAGUACAUGAAAACUUCUUGCUUUUGCAGUGUAGAAAAUAGUAAUUAAAAUGGAAGAAUAUAAUUUAAAUCACUUGAAAUGAAUGUCAGCGAAGUAGUUUUUAUUACAAUGUAGUUAAGCACAAGGCUCACCAUAUAAAGAAGUCAAUGUCUCCUCUUAAUAUAUCUUUCCCAAAGUUGGAGUCCUUCAAUGCUCUCCCAUCUCUCGGCUGCCACUGCCCCCUGACUCCUUCUGUUCCUGACUGACAGAUGGGGGAAGAAAGAGCUGCACACCUGCUUCCUGCAGCCUGCUCUGCUGGGCUGGGGUCAGUGCCAUUCAGGCUGUCCCUGCUGAGCUGUGCUGGGGAGCUGCACUCCAAGGAGGCUGGGACAUGAGGGCUGGGCUGGGUGAGCGCAAUGCACCACGCAGCCCUCGCUGCUUUGGGGGGAAUGAGGGGUGUAGAUCACACACAGGGGAGCAUUGGUUGUAGGUAACCUGGGGAAAGCAUUGGGCACCCUGCUGUGGGUGUCCCUGCUGGGGCAGGGGCUGGGCCAGAGGGACACAGGUCCCUUCCAGCCUCAGCCAGUCUAUGGGUUCUGCAGUCUCUGCUGUAAGCUGGCAAAACUUAAUUUCCAAAAUAAACAGUAUUGUCUCUUCUUAUGAAAAAACAUCUACUUCACGAACCCAUUUCAUGACAUGUUCUGCAGUCUUCAGCUUAAUGUUUCACUUAGUGAAGACAGACUAUGUAAAGUGCCUUCUGAACGACUCUGUUCUAAGUUCUUAAAUUGGUCUGAAGCAGCUUACAUGGACAUGUAUUUAUUUUCUGCUGGUGGUGACAUCUGGCCUUGGUCAAAGGGACAGCCUGAGGGCUCAGGCAUCACUGAGAUCUCAUUUAAAGACUGAAGAUAGGACUUGAACAAAACCUGAAUGUUAGUGGGUAACAAACGAUGAGCACCACCAAGAAGCAUCUUCUAGUUUUAGACUUCAAGUACUUUAUUUAAAACUCUCUGUUUACUUUAGAAAACACCAUAUCCACAAGAAAAAUACAGCUUUAUGUGCAAUGUUUGACUAUAUUCAGUUGUGGGAUACCAAUCUGGUAUUAAAUGUCCUGGAGAAACAAAACCAAACCAAAGCAAACAAGAAGACAGAGAACACUGGAUAUCAAUCAUUGUCCCUUUAAAACAGCAAGACAUUCUCCAUAGUCUCCUUCCACCACUGAGGUGGCAUACUUACGUGAUUUAGCUGCAGCCAGAAAGCUGACAUCACUUCAAACAUGGAAGGUCACAUGACACUGAGUCAGCUUUACACAGCACAUCUCCACAUUUCACCCAGCAGCAGAUCUGUUGAUCGCUCCAUACUGCAGAAUACAAAUGGGUAUCCAGAUACGUAAAGACAAACAGACACGGGAGUGGCCAGCAGGGCCAGUUGCAGUGUGCCCACCGGCCAUGGAGCUGGGAGACUGCAGCUUUCUCAGAGGCUCAUGGGGUUAAAGCAUCUCCUCUUGUCUGACUUCCAUCUCAGAUGAAGUGGCGUAAGCUGGUGAAAACAUGAGGGCAGAGGUCUACACCCCUUGUAGCACAAGGCCACUUCCUCCCAAAGGCAGCCCCUGGUGCUCAGAGUUUAGUAUGUGAAACAUCCCCAUCACCACAGGGGUUGGCUGAAACUCUUCACCUGUUGUGACACAAUGUGCUGACUGAACAUUCUUUGCAGCCCAAUAUCCUCAUAGAACAGAGGACUACCUCAGCAGGCUAUUUCAGGUAUAACUGUAUCACCUACCCGUACGUCAGCAUUUUCUUCUUUGAUUCAAUACAUUCAUUGAGCCUUUUACUCUGAAAUAUCUACAUGUAUUUUUCCAGACGGGUAUGUCUUCACUUUUUC